rnacentral:rRNA from 1 species
GCNCAUGGAGGAAACUCUGACGCAGCCAUGCCGCGUGCAGGAGGACGGCCCUACGGGUUGUAAACUGCUUUUCUUAACUAAGAACCGUGGAUACUUGUAUCCACCUGACUGGUUUUGGAAUAAGCAUCGGCUAACUCCGUGCCAGCAGCCGCGGUAAUACGGAGGAUGCAAGCGUUAUCCGGAUUCACUAGGUCUAAAGGGUGCNGUAGGCGGAAUAAUAAGUCAGUGGUGAAAUCUUGCGGCUCAACCGUAAAAUUGCCAUUGAUACUGUUAUUCUUGAGUAUGGUUGAGGUAGGCGGAAUGAGUAAUGUAGCGGUGAAAUGCUUAGAUAUUACUCAGAACACCGAUUGCGUAGGCAGCUUACCAAGCCAUCACUGACGCUGAGGCACGAAAGCGUGGGUAGCAAACAGGAUUAGAUACCCUGGUAGUCCACGCCGUAAACGUUGAUUACUCGUUGUUGGCAAUAAACCGUCAGCGACUGAGCUAAAGCAUUAAGUAAUCCACCUGGGGAGUACGUCAGCAAUGAUGAAACUCAAAGGAAUUGACGGGGGCCCGCACAAGCGGAGGAACAUGUGGUUUAAUUCGAUGAUACGCGAGGAACCUUACCUGGGCUUGAAUGUUUAGUGAUCGGCCGGGAAACCGGUCUUUCCUUCGGGACACUUUACAAGGUGCUGCAUGGUUGUCGUCAGCUCGUGCCGUGAGGUGUCGGGUUAAGUCCCAUAACGAGCGCAACCCCUAUCGCCAGUUGCCAGCACAUUAUGGUGGA